rnacentral:lncRNA from 1 species
CUUUAUCGUCUUCUUUUAAUUCCCAUUCAUUUCUUAUUCUUCUUUAUUCUCGUUGAUCAUGUUCUCAGAGUCCUCAAGGCUCAACAACAUCUAGCAUACUCCUGAUAAGAACUACAAUGGAUAAUGGUCACCCAAAAUACCACUUCCUUUUUUUUUUGCCACCCAGCUUAAAACAACAUAACACCUCCACUAAAUUAACAACAAUAUCUGGAUGGAACGAGGCUAGUCUGAAAACUUUCUAUAAUAUCCCUCGAUCAUCACCUUCCUUGUCUCAUAUUUGUAAACUCUUGUUUACUACCAUCGAUAAAUGCCGGAGGGAUAAACUUUUCCUUU